UUUUGGACGGCUGGCCCCAAAUGGCGGCUGCAAUCAACCUUGCGGAAAAUUGCUCGAUUGCGGCCACCAAUGCAAGGCCGUGUGCCACUUGGACACCACGUGUUCCAAGAUUGACUGCAAUGGGCCUUGUUUCCGGCUCUGCAAUGCAAGACAGCACCGCUGCCCUUCUGAGUGUCACGUCAAAUGCGAAUCAAACUGCAUGGUCAAGGUCAGCAAAUACCUGAAGUGCAGAGUGCACACCAUUGAGGUUGAGUGCAAGAUAGACGUCUGGACCGUGAAAUGCACAAAUCCAUGCACAAAGCUGAAAAAAGGGUGUCGUUCGAACCACAAAUGUCCAAAGCUGUGCCACGAAGAAUGCGACCUUUGUUUGAAGAAGAGCACAGUCAAGCUUGCAUGUGGACACUUGGUUACGGUUAUCUGCUGCAAGCCAAUCCCUACUUGCCUAGAGAAAUUUAGGGGGCCGAAACAUAAAGGCUUUUUACGAAAAAUACACCAAGGGCGAGGAACAAGUGAUUGUCGUGAGAACCUGUGGUCACAUCCUGUUCAAGAAAUGCUACUAAUACGUUCCAGAUGGUUCCUACUGCUUUGAAAUUUGUUCAAAGAAACUGGACUGCGGGCAUGUGUGUCAAAAGUACUGCUACAGAAGUUGUAGGCACUGCAGACCGUGCAUGCUCUCUUCAAUAGUCAACCUCCUCGCAUUUUGGAGAUGGACAAAUUAUUAAAAUUUCUACAAGAAAUUUAAACAACCAUUAGUUUAUAUAAUUAUUAUACGACUUAUUUUUUUCUUCAAAUUUCUACCAGCAAAAUUUUGAUGAUGUAGAUUAAACAGGAAAUAAAAAUAUCACUCUUUAUACACUAUACACAUCUAAAAUUUCCGUUUAUUUUGAUUCAAAGAUUGCACAUCCAUAUGUGUUACUUCCAAAUGAGUAUUGCGAUCAUAAUCACACCACUGACAAACAAGCCGGCGGCGCUGGCAUCCAAAAUAUACAUAUUUUUAUCGCAAUGCCAGCAAAAGGUGGCACCUGGUUCAUGACACUCGCCACUGCAACGCCUACAAGAGGUGGCGCAAGCCUCGUGGCACUUCUUGCUGCAACUGUGUCCGCACUGCAUCGGCAGGCCGCACUCUUCCUCGCAAUCUGAGUCGGGGCUCCAGUCACUGCAGACGAUUUCUUUGCUGUGCCUGCCGCAGGAAAAAGUGACCACGCGCACCUCUGGGCAAGGUAAGCAAGGCAAGUUGCAGAGGAGUCUGCAGCGGUGGAGACCGGCCCCAUUUUAUUUAACAGGAUAAAACAUCUUUCUUCUGCAAAAUAUUUUUCCUUGCCACGUUCCCUUUCAAAAUUUUAGUCGUAUAUGUACAGUGACACUUCAGUUUUGAUAAUGCAAUUUUUACAAUAGGAUAAAACUUAGUUCCAGGAAAAGCGUUAACUUCAAGAUAACCCAACAAUAUUAAAUUUGCAAAAUCUUAGUAUUUGUACAUAUAUACUAUUAAGCUACAUAAAUAUACAUACAGUAUCAUGACGUUAAUAUAUUAAAUUUUUGUUCUGUGAUUCCCAGUCGAUUUUGAAGUAAUAAAAUAAUAUUUUUAACUUCAGGUUUUGGACCGUAGCAUGGUUGAAAAUCGUGGACUCCACAAGGGGUAUCGGUGUGAUGGGCCCUGAGAGUCAGGCCCACCAAGUGGUGCACUCAUAGCUUUGCUCCUUAUAUUGGUUGGCCUGCUUCAGGAAGCGACGAGACAGCAGCAGCUCCUUAACUAGGUGGUUUUCAUCUUUUUUCUGGUGCGUA